AAUCCCAUAGAACGUAAAAUCUGUGUAUACAUGAAGUUAAGCUAUAACGAUUCCCUAGUUUGACAUGGUCCAAUCUAGCGGAAAGAGGGAAGUUAAAAAGAGGGGCGUGAGCAAGGUUGAAAUUAUUUUUUCAAAUUAUUUUUUCUUUUCUAAAAAGGUAUCAAAUGAAUGACUAAAAAAAUCUUCCAUUCUUCUCUUCAACUUUUCACACAUUCAUUUUUUUUACUGGACAUCGCCAGUCUAUCCCUUCCUGUGCUCUAAGUUUUUACACCAUGCAAAAUCUUAAAAAGAAGACCUUGCAGAUUUUCGAUUUGAGUCCCUGCGUAGCAGAUGGUCUUCCAUGAAGUAAGAUUGCAGACAAGUGUACUAGUUUUAUUACUAGCUUUUCAGGAGUGGAUGACAACCACUUGGCCAUGAGAUAUCAAGGUGGUAGUCAGGAGGAUUCUCCUGCAAGCGACGGGAACAAAACCCAUUUCAAAGUAAACAAGAGGAAUGAAAAUGGCGUUGCGAUUGGAAAGUUCGUUUGUAAAAAGAACCAAGCUGUGAUUUUGAAAGGAAAAGGAGAAAUGAGCAAGGGGGCUUUCUCAAACAAUAAUAACAGUUAUCAUCCGGAUUCUUCGUUUGAGCCAUUAAAUGGCAAUAUCAAGAAUCAAGAAGAUCAAAAGCAGCCCAUGAAAAAUAGGAUUCCAGGAGGCGAUCUGUUGUCUCAAUGGAGACAGAAGAAGAGGUCUAGGGGUUGCAGGGCUAAUAUGGUUGAUGAUUCUGCUAGAAAAUCUGAUAUUAAUGCUACCAGGAAUGGUGACCAUAUUCCAUCCAUAUGUCACGUGGCUUCUAUUCAUCCUACAAAUAUCACCUCUUUACCCAUGAGAAGGAGUCCUGAAUAUGAGGCUGCUUGUGGAAGCAAUGGAGUCUUGUUUAAUAAGAGGGCAGAAGAGCAUUCUCCAGAAUCUUCUUGCGUGCCUGACAAAAUCACCCCUUGCAAGGAUGGGGAUGUGGGGGACUGCAUUGCUCCAGCUUCUUUGAUUCCUUCAGAGAUAGAAGCCUUUGCUCAGCCUCCCGAGAAUAUGGAUAUGGACAAAUUUCCAUGGCCUAGGAUAUUGAUCGCAUUAUCAAGGAAGGAGAAGGAAUGCGACUUUUUAGUCAUUAAGGGCAGCAAGCUUCCACAGAGGCCUAAAAAGCGCCCGAAAAUCGUUGAAAGGAAUUUACAGAAUUGCUGUCCUGGGUUUUGGCUUUCAGAUGUGGCAAGGGGAAGAUAUGACGUGAGGGAAAAGAAGAGUAUAAAGAAGAAGCCAAUGGGUCUGAAGGCUAUGGAGAGUACAGGCAGUGAUUCGGAUUAAACUCAAGAUAUAUGAUUAAAGCAGUAGUCUACAAUCUGCAGCUGCCUUGUUGCUUCAACCAUUUUCUUUUCCACGCCUUAUUUGGGAAAUGCUUCCAAGCAAUAGAAUUCUUUUCCACUGUGAAGUCUUCCUACAGGCAGCGGCAUUUUUUGAAACUUAUGGUCUAUGAUAUAUGUCUGAUCGUCUUCUUGAGCCCUAAAUCUACAUCCGUUGCUUGGAUUGAUAUUCAACAAUUUAAUUACACUGUUACAUCUUGGCUUGUAUAUGAUGUCAUCUGAACAAGGGAGAUCCUCAAGAUAUAGAUCUGACAUACUUAAUGACCCUUGCAAGGAUGCGUCUAUUUCAACGAGGCUAUUUUCAUUUUCAAGCUUCAGGAUAAUAGUAAUACACCAAAGAGGCUUCUGUAAAAUAUUACCAAAAUACUUUCAUUACGCAUUUACCUCAUUUGUUUCACUAGUCCAAUUAUUUGUAUGGAAUCUUUAAAUUGUGUCAAUAUGUCUAUAUGCGUCGUUGAGGCAACAAAGCGUAUCUCUUAUGUAAUCAGUUAUUCUAAAAACUAUGCACGUUCCCCAGAUCUAGAUUUAUAUUGCAGUAAUAGUAUCCACUGGCAGUAAUUUCUGACCUAGUCAAAACAUAUGACACAAUUAAAUGUUUUUUAGUUGUCCAGUGCUCCAUAAUUUACAUUUUUCAGAAAACGUGUAGCUUCUAAACAUUUCAUGAAUUGAACAUUUUUCAACAAUUUGAUCAUAGAUAUUCUCUAAAACAUUUCUUUGAGUACUGCUUUAUUGCCUUAUAAUUGAUAUCUGCAUAAUAGAUAAAAUAGAGACUUCCAAACUAGCAAAGACAACUAUUUAAUUUACCUGUCAAAUAUGUAAUGAGUUCAACAGCCCAAUUUCAAAUCAAGAGACAACUACAGAAUAUAUGUACUAAAUAGCUGCACAGAGUGCACUCUGCAUCUUAAGACCAUGCACAAAAAGAUGAACUCUCUUUUGUCUUUGUUAGACUUUAAAUGUGCCUCUGUUCAACAAAAUUCUUUUUUAUUCAUGCUUCAUUACUGAGCACUAGGUAAGUUCAUGCUACAACAUUGUGGCUACCAAAAUAUAUACAACUAACUUAUAUUGGGAAUAGAAGCGGGUGAUUUGAUUUUGCAAUACAGUUUGUAGAUGCUAAGCAUUUUUGCUGGUGAUUAUUUCUCG